UACAGAGGGUGCAAGCGUUGUUCGGAAUUACUGGGCGUAAAGCGCGUGUAGGCGGCUUAUUAAGUCGGACGUGAAAUCCCUUGGCUCAACCAAGGAACUGCGUCCGAUACUGCUAGGCUUGAGUGUCGGAGGGGAUGGCGGAAUUCCCGGUGUAGAGGUGAAAUUCGUAGAUAUCGGGAGGAACACCUGUGGCGAAGGCGGCCAUCUGGAAGACAACUGACGCUGAGACGCGAAAGCGUGGGGAGCAAACAGG
rnacentral:rRNA from 1 species